GAUGAACGCUGGCGGCGUGCUUAACACAUGCAAGUCGAACGAAGUCUUCUAGACAGAUUCCUUCGGGAUGACGAUUAGAUGUACUUAGUGGCGGACGGGUGAGUAACGCGUGGGUAACCUGCCUCAUACAGGGGGAUAACAGUUGGAAACAGCUGCUAAUACCCCAUAAGCGCACAAUGUCGCAUGACAAAGUGUGAAAAACUCCGGUGGUAUGAGAUGGACCCGCGUCUGAUUAGCUAGUUGGUGAGGUAACGGCCCACCAAGGCGACGAUCAGUAGCCGACUUGAGAGAGUGAUCGGCCACAUUGGGACUGAGACACGGCCCAGACUCC
rnacentral:rRNA from 1 species